rnacentral:rRNA from 1 species
GCCCUGGCAGUCAGAGGCGAUGAAGGACGUGCUAAUCUGCGAUAAGCGUCGGUAAGGUGAUAUGAACCGUUAUAACCGGCGAUUUCCGAAUGGGGAAACCCAGUGUGAUUCGUCACACUAUCAUUAACUGAAUCCAUAGGUUAAUGAGGCGAACCGGGGGAACUGAAACAUCUAAGUACCCCGAGGAAAAGAAAUCAACCGAGAUUCCCCCAGUAGCGGCGAGCGAACGGGGAGGAGCCCAGAGCCUGAAUCAGUGUGUGUGUUAGUGGAAGCGUCUGGAAAGGCGCGCGAUACAGGGUGACAGCCCCGUACACAAAAAUGCACAUGCUGUGAGCUCGAUGAGUAGGGCGGGACACGUGGUAUCCUGUCUGAAUAUGGGGGGACCAUCCUCCAAGGCUAAAUACUCCUGACUGACCGAUAGUGAACCAGUACCGUGAGGGAAAGGCGAAAAGAACCCCGGCGAGGGGAGUGAAAAAGAACCUGAAACCGUGUACGUACAAGCAGUGGGAGCACAGAGCAAUCUGUGUGACUGCGUACCUUUUGUAUAAUGGGUCAGCGACUUAUAUUCUGUAGCAAGGUUAACCGAAUAGGGGAGCCGAAGGGAAACCGAGUCUUAACUGGGCGUUAAGUUGCAGGGUAUAGACCCGAAACCCGGUGAUCUAGCCAUGGGCAGGUUGAAGGUUGGGUAACACUAACUGGAGGACCGAACCGACUAAUGUUGAAAAAUUAGCGGAUGACUUGUGGCUGGGGGUGAAAGGCCAAUCAAACCGGGAGAUAGCUGGUUCUCCCCGAAAGCUAUUUAGGUAGCGCCUCGUGAAUUCAUCUCCGGGGGUAGAGCACUGUUUCGGCAAGGGGGUCAUCCCGACUUACCAACCCGAUGCAAACUGCGAAUACCGGAGAAUGUUAUCACGGGAGACACACGGCGGGUGCUAACGUCCGUCGUGAAGAGGGAAACAACCCAGACCGCCAGCUAAGGUCCCAAAGUCAUGGUUAAGUGGGAAACGAUGUGGGAAGGCCCAGACAGCCAGGAUGUUGGCUUAGAAGCAGCCAUCAUUUAAAGAAAGCGUAAUAGCUCACUGGUCGAGUCGGCCUGCGCGGAAGAUGUAACGGGGCUAAACCAUG